GCCUUCGUGGUGUAAUGGUCAGCACACUAGGCGCGUAUUCGAGAGCACCGAGGUUCGAGUCCCGGCGAGGGCA
rfam:Stegodyphus mimosarum contig126875, whole genome shotgun sequence.